rnacentral:rRNA from 1 species
AGAGACUACUACCAAUAGCUACACUAUGUAUUAAGGAGAGUAUAACUUAAUUUAUGUUUAUGAUUUUAUCAUACCCCUAAAAAUGACACCGAGGAGCAAGGGUCGGGUUAGCAUCCUGGUUCGUACACCUUGGUGACCUAGGCUAGUACCAGGUCCCCCUCUAAGGGACUUGUCCCCUCUAAGGGACUUGCGUCG